rnacentral:rRNA from 1 species
UGGGGAAUAUUGCACAAUGGGCGCAAGCCUGAUGCAGCAACGCCGCGUGAACGAUGAAGGUCUUCGGAACGUAAAGUUCUGUUGCAGGGGAAGAUAAUGACGGUACCCUGUGAGGAAGCCCCGGCUAACUACGUGCCAGCAGCCGCGGUAAUACGUAGGGGGCUAGCGUUAUCCGGAUUUACUGGGCGUAAAGGGUGCGUAGGUGGUCUUUCAAGUCGGUGGUUAAAGGCUACGGCUCAACCGUAGUUAGCCUCCGAAACUGGAAGACUUGAGUGCAGGAGAGGAAAGUGGAAUUCCCAGUGUAGCGGUGAAAUGCGUAGAUAUUGGGAGGAACACCAGUAGCGAAGGCGGCUUUCUGGACUGCAACUGACACUGAGGCACGAAAGCGUGGGUAGCAAACAGG